GUGAGGAAUAUUGCGCAAUGGAGGCAACUCUGACGCAGCCAUGCCGCGUGCAGGAAGAAGGCGCUACGCGUUGUAAACUGCUUUUAACCGGGAAGAAACCCCAGGACGUGUCCUGGGUUGACGGUACCGGAGGAAUAAGCACCGGCUAACUUCGUGCCAGCAGCCGCGGUAAUACGAAGGGUGCAAGCGUUAUCCGGAUUCAUUGGGUUUAAAGGGUGCGUAGGCGGAGCGUUAAGUCAGUGGUGAAAUCCUGCAGCUUAACUGUAGACUUGCCAUUGAUACUGGCGCUCUUGAGUGCGCUUGAAGUGGGCGGAAUGUGCCGUGUAGCGGUGAAAUGCUUAGAUAUGGCACAGAACGCCAAUUGCGAAGGCAGCUCACUAAGGCGAUACUGACGCUGAGGCACGAAAGCGUGGGGAUCGAACAGGAUUAGAAACCCCAGUAGUCC
rnacentral:rRNA from 1 species